UGCCACAGACAUAUCACCCUGCAGCCCAAGACUGGUUGCCCACUGAAGCUAAGCAGGGUUGAGCCUGGUCAGUACCUGGAUGGGAGACCUCCUGGGAAAACUAGGUUGCUGUUGGAA
rnacentral:rRNA from 1 species